rnacentral:rRNA from 1 species
AGGACGAACGCUGGCGGCGUGCCUAACACAUGCAAGUCGAACGAGGUCCAACCGGUGGCAACACUGGUGAAGACCGAGUGGCGAACGGGUGAGUAACACGUGAGCAACCUGCCUCGAAGACUGGGAUAACCCCGGGAAACCGGAGCUAAUACCGGAUACCCCCACCGGGUCGCAUGGCCUGGUGAGGAAAUGGAUUCCGCUUUGAGAGGGGCUCGCGGCCUAUCAGCUUGAUGGUGGGGUAAUGGCCUACCAUGGCACCGACGGGUAGCUGGUCUGAGAGGACGAUCAGCCACACUGGGACUGAGACACGGCCCAGACUCCUACGGGAGGCAGCAGUGGGGAAUCUUGCGCAAUGGGCGAAAGCCUGACGCAGCAACGCCGCGUGUGGGACGAAGGCCUUCUGGGUUGUAAACCUCUUUCAGCAGGGACGAAGCGAAAGUGACGGUACCUGCAGAAGAAGCACCGGCUAACUACGUGCCAGCAGCCGC